rnacentral:rRNA from 1 species
UGAGUAAUGUCUGGGAAACUGCCUGAUGGAGGGGGAUAACUACUGGAAACGGUAGCUAAUACCGCAUAACGUCGCAAGACCAAAGAGGGGGACCUUCGGGCCUCUUGCCAUCAGAUGUGCCCAGAUGGGAUUAGCUAGUAGGUGGGGUAAUGGCUCACCUAGGCGACGAUCCCUAGCUGGUCUGAGAGGAUGACCAGCCACACUGGAACUGAGACACGGUCCAGACUCCUACGGGAGGCAGCAGUGGGGAAUAUUGCACAAUGGGCGCAAGCCUGAUGCAGCCAUGCCGCGUGUGUGAAGAAGGCCUUCGGGUUGUAAAGCACUUUCAGCGAGGAGGAAGGUGGUGAGCUUAAUACGCUCAUCAAUUGACGUUACUCGCAGAAGAAAGCACCGGCUAACUCCGUGCCAGCAGCCGCGGUAAUACGGAGGGUGCAAGCGUUAAUCGGAAUUACUGGGCGUAAAGCGCACGCAGGCGGUUUGUUAAGUCAGAUGUGAAAUCCCCGGG